UGGGGAAUUUUGGACAAUGGGCGAAAGCCUGAUCCAGCAAUGCCGCGUGUGUGAAGAAGGCCUUCGGGUUGUAAAGCACUUUUGUCCGGAAAGAAAUCCUUGGCUCUAAUACAGUCGGGGGAUGACGGUACCGGAAGAAUAAGCACCGGCUAACUACGUGCCAGCAGCCGCGGUAAUACGUAGGGUGCAAGCGUUAAUCGGAAUUACUGGGCGUAAAGCGUGCGCAGGCGGUUUGCUAAGACCGAUGUGAAAUCCCCGGGCUCAACCUGGGAACUGCAUUGGUGACUGGCAGGCUAGAGUAUGGCAGAGGGGGUAGAAUUCCACGUGUAGCAGUGAAAUGCGUAGAGAUGUGGAGGAAUACCGAUGGCGAAGGCAGCCCCCUGGGCCAAUACUGACGCUCAUGCACGAAAGCGUGGGGAGCAAACAGGAUUAGUACCCUGGUAGUCCCACGCCCUAAACGAUGUCAACUAGUUGUUGGGGAUUCAUUUCCUUAGUAACGUAGCUAACGCGUGAAGUUGACCGCCUGGGGAGUACGGUCGCAAGAUU
rnacentral:rRNA from 1 species